rnacentral:lncRNA from 1 species
ACUUCGGUCUUUCAUUUUGUUAACUUUGUGUAUAAAGAUUGUGACUAUUUUGUAGAAUUUUCUGCGGACUGAAGCUUGCCAAACAACUCCAAGACAGAAAAAGAGGAAGCAAAACAUGAGGAAGAAGGAAUGCAUGAGUUGGAAAAUAACUGACAGCCCUCAAUGUACAAUGACUGUCCUGCGUGCUCCAGGCUAACUCAAUUCUUCUUCCCUCUGGCCAGAAUGCAUGCCACUGGAGAAACAAUUUAUUUCCCGAAACCACGCUGCCUUCAGCAAUUUCAAAUAGCUUUAAAUUAUGUGAAGUUAAACAAAGGUCUUAAAAUUUACAAGAAGUUCUCCAUUUGCUGUGUGCAUUUCUCUAAGGAAAUUAUUGCUUUUUCAUCUGCCAUUCAUCUCAUCCACAUAGGAACAAAGUGGAUUUUCAGACCCUUGGCCCAGACUUGGAGGCAGAGGAGCCCGUACGUUCAGAUGAAUGGUAAUGAGCAUUGUCAGAGAGGCAGGAAAAUUGAGUCCCCGGCUCUGGCUGCUGGGCUGAGAGCUGCAGGAGCUAAUUGUGUCAAUGGUAAUGAGACCGAGCAGGCAGCAGAUGCUCACGUGCCUUUACAAUCCAAAUCCCACCAACAAAUUCCUCCCACAGAAACUUUGAGGGACGUCUUGGCACCCUGGAGAUGGUGA